GGAAAGAUGAAAAGAACUUUGAAAAGAGAGUUAAACAGUACGUGAAAUUGUUGAAAGGGAAACGAUUGAAGUCAGUCGUGCUGGCGCGAAAUCAACCCUCUCGUCCGAGAGGUCACAUGGCGUGGCGAGCCUCAAAACCGUCACGAAGCGUGAACUCUUGGCGAAAAGGAGCACUUUCGUGUCCGCUGGUUAACAUCAAUUUCGAACGUCAUAAAAAGGCUGGAGGGAUGUGGCUCCUUCGGGAGUGUUAUAACCUUUAGCGGAAUGUGGUGGUCGGGAUUGAGGAUUGCAACGAAUACCUUUAGGGCUGUUCCACCCUGGCUUCUCUUUGGUAUCCUGGUGAAGACAGCUUGCUGACUUUGUUAGGAUUCGCCUUUUGAACAGGCUAGAGUGUGAGCAAAUUCGUUAAGGAUGUUAACGUAAUGGCUUUAAACGACCCGUCUUGAAACACGGACCA
rnacentral:rRNA from 1 species